GUAAGUGCUUGGUAGAAUGCCUGGCACUUAGAAUUAUUUGUGUUAUCUUUUAUUAUUAUGUACAUAAGAAUGGUAUGAUUUUCCUCUAGCUAACAGUUUAUUGCCCUAAUAGACUUUUAAAGCUAUAAGAGACUUGCGUAGUCAUAUCCAAUCUGGACAUUUUACAGAUGAGCUUUUCAUUCAGAGAGGCCCAGUGGCUACGCAAGUUCCCACCAGUGAGUAAAUGUUUAGACUAGAAACUCAGCCUCUUGACUCUCAGCAAGAGCUUUCUCUAUUAGGUGGUGUUGGCCUAUAUGUAUAAACCUAAUGGCUUAGAAUUAGCUUCCUUAGUAUUUGCCUUAUGGGAUUAUAUUUGGAAAGGUAUUAUUGAACCUGAUUUUUUUUUUUUUUUUUUUUUUUGUAGAGACUGAGAUAGUUACCAUGUUGGUAGUAAAUUUAUAAGCCAAUGAUUUACUGAUAAUUAAAAUAUAUUUGAAAGUAAUUUAAAUUUCACAUUAUUCUGUUUUAAUUCCCUGAUUAACCACAGAUUCAAAUAUCCCAUUUGUAGCUUUAGCAUUUAUAAUUUUGCUAGAUAGAUCUAGCAAAAUUAUUUUAUUAUACCAUUCAUUCAUUUAUUCAUUUAUUACCUCCACAAUCUUUCUCUUCCCCGUACCCAAUAUGAAAACCUGCCCUCAUGGAAUUUAUACUACUUGAGAGAAGCAGAUAAUGAGCACAUGAAUAAACUAACAAAUGACUUAAAAGGUAAUUGCAGAGCAGUCCCCAAAAUAUAUUAAAAUGGGGAAAUCAAGCAAUCAGUGAUUUGUUGUUAUAAUAGAUAGGAAUGUUGUCAGUUCUCUAGCCUCACAACCUACCAAUAAACAGAGUAAUGGUUUAUAUAAAUUCAAAUGCAGUUAUUAUAUAGGGAGUUCCCAUUGUGGCACAGUGGAAACAAAUCUGACUAGGAACCAUGAGGUUUCAGGUUCGAUCCCUGGCCUUGCUCAGUGGGUUAAGGAUCUGGCAUUGCUGUGAGCUGUGGUGUAGGUCACAAAUGCGGCUCGGAUCUGGUGUUGCUGUGGCUGUGGUGUAGGCCAACAGCUACAGCUCUGAUUCAACCCCUAGCCUGGGAACCUCCAUAUGCCGUGGGAGCGGUCCUAGAAAAGGCAAAAAAAAAAAAAAAAGGUAAAAGAAUCAAUAUAUAGGACUACAUUUAUUUUACCCAAAAUGUAUGAUCUAGUGGCUUGGAAUAAUUUUAAAUUUUAACGUGUCCCUUUCUACAACUCUGGAAGGUUCCCUAGGUAUGGGAAAAUUGGUUCCUGGUAUAACUUAUUUUCUUUGUUUGCCUCUUUAUAGGAAAUCCCUUACCUAGGAAAGGUUUUGUUCCAAAAAUUCUUUUUUGAGUCAUUGUGAACUCAUUUGCUAUAGAAGCAAGCUUAACAUAAUGGUUAAUUUCCAAUGCCAGUUCACGGAAGUUUAUUUCUCCAUUCUUGAAGCUGAAUGGUUAUAGUUAUGAUGCUUCCUUGAGUUCUGUCCCAGUUUGCUUUGGAAGGAGUCCACAGCAGGUGCACUUUUCUCCAUUUCUGAGCUCAGAACCCGAUCCAGUCCAUCCUUUGAAGCUGAUGACAUCUCCCCUUUGCACCUUCCUCACUUCCUUUCUGCACCCCUGCCUCCCCAUGGCACCCUUAUCUUUAGGCCCUUAUAACGUUUUAAGGGUUUUUCCCAGUAAAAACUGUGUGUCCCUUAUUCUCCAUUUUCCAUUUUACUAGCAUAAUACCAAAGUCGAUCACUGGGCACGCAAAAUGAAUAUUUGAUUUUUCAGGAUAUCAAAAAGAUAUUUCACCCUGUUGAAGUGAUUUUUUUUUUUUAACAUUUGUUCAGGUAACUUGUUUUUAGGGAGCAAGCACUGAUUUUCUCAAGAGUCAUCUCCCUUUACUUCCCUACAGUAGCUCCUCUUCAGUCAGGGUCAUGGCUGACUGGUCUACAAAUAUUCAUUGGAUGUCCUUGUUUCUCACUUUGAAGUGAUAUAUGGGAUUUGAAAAUCUACGAGGUUUCACUCAAGGCAAGCUUAGUCCUGUAAAGAAAGACUGAAAAAUUAUAGCAAUAUUAUCGAGAAAGUUUGGGUUCACCCUGCUGUUGGCAUCUGCUUUAUUCUCUAUAUUGUCUUUGUGCACUUUGCUGUCAUGUUAGAGAAAUAUACUACAUGGAAUCCUAGCCUAAGCAAAAAGCUAGCGGAAGCCCAGUUUGUCCCUCACCACUCUGCAGAUAGUACAUAGGUCUGCCUGCCAAAAAUAGAUGUAGUUUAUAGUAUGUUCAACUCCAUGGCUCAUAUUUUUUCAUUUCCUGUUUCCAGAUGAAGAAAGGGGGGGGAGAAAAAAAUUACUCCCAUAAAAAGUACAUUUUCCCCUCUAUGUUCAAUUAUGGAGGGACAUCUAUAAACACAGGCAUAGAGCCCAGAGGAAAGGAGAUAUUUUCAAAAUGUUGUCUGAUAAGUCACUUUAGCUUCCAAAUAAAAAUUGUUUGAAAAUACAUUUAGGACAUAAAAGCAGAAAUAUUGACAUAUGGUAUGUGAUAUUUGCCUGAGUUUGUAGAUGAUGUAUGAGCUUGACUGAAGGAGCUUUGCUGGUAAUUGUAUAGCCUAGGAAGAGACUGAUAGUCAGAAAUACAAGACAUUUAGGGAUCUGUGGAAACUUAAUGGUCAUGUAGCAGGAUUUAUUUGGUGAUGAAAGGAAUUUAACUUAUACAAAAUAUGUAUAAAAUCAAUGAAACUUUUUGGAAAUAGCUGAACUAGUCAGUCUUUCCUUUUGCAAUUUCCAAAAGAUGCUAUUUGCUGGGCCCUGGGUAGCCAUGGCAAAAAUCUGAUCUUUGUCAAAAUCUGCUGUUGAAUUCUGGUUUCCAGGCUGCUUAGGGUGAGGCAGGUAUUUGCCCAUUGUCAGUUUUACCUCUCAAGCUUAAGUCACAUAAUCUUAUAGCAUAUUUACAGUUAUAAGACAAAUAGAUUUAUGAAAGAAUAAGAUUUGCAGCAGUACGUGGUCAAAAUUGUAUUACUUGAAAAGUAAAGUUUCAAAGGGAUAGUAGAGUUUACUGGAAUGCACAUGGGGUUAAACUUAGGAAAUUUCAUUUCUAUUUGUUUCUCUCUCUCUUUUUUUUUCUUUUUCAGCCAUACCUGCAGCACAUGGAAGUUCCCAGACCAGGGAUUGGAUUUGGGCUGGAGCUGCGACCUAUGCCACAGCUGCACCAAAGCUGGAUUGUUAACCCACUGUGCUGGGCCAGGAUUCUAACCAGCACCUCCACGGAGACAAGCUAGAUCAUUACCUCACUGCACCAUGGCAGGAACUCCUCAUUUCUGUGUUUGCUUUUGCCCUCUAGUUUUAUGAGUUUAGAUAAGUGACUUAAUUGUUCUUUUAUUUUUAUAUAUCUCUAAAUGGGAGGGUUGUCUAGUUGAUUUCCAAGAUUUCCUCCUUUUCUAAAUAUCCAGUGAAUGCCACCGAGUAAUUAUCUGGAUUAAAAAACAACAAUAUCAAAAAACAACUCUUUUAUAUGUCAAGAGUAUUGACUGAAAUAUCUACAAAACUAUUUUUUAAAAAGUAAGGAAAAAGUACCUAAAUUAUUGAUUUUACCUGAUCUUCAGGAUGCUUUUGUAUUAGUAAUUUUGGAGGCAGGGAAAAGAAAAGAUGUCCCCCUCCCAUUUUAAGCACAUUAAUGAUGGAUCUGGAGGGGCCGUCUUCCUCUAGCAGCACUGUAGCCACUUACAUCAUUGUCAGAAAACAAGAUAGUGUAGGUACAUAAGGAAAAUAAAGAGAGCUUAAUGAGCUUAAGGGGCUAAUUGGAAGUUGGAGUCAGAGUUAAAAGUAAAAAGGAAUAGCAAAAAUCUUUGGGACAGGCAAGAACAGGGAGAUACUAAUACAUUUAGGCCUAGAGGACAAAGAAGAGAGUAGACACUGGACUCUCUGGAAAGACUUUGAUGUAGCUAUGCUGUAGGUGAGGGCCUCUGACCAGUGCCCUGGCUUCAGAAGAGAACCCACAAGAAAGGUUGUCAGAGGAGAGAAUCAGUUCCACUAAUCUCUUUCUCCAAGGACCCUCCAGUCUCAUUAUUUUACCCCACUGGCCAAACUCAAGUAGAAGUCAGAGGUCAAGUGAGACAGAGGGGUGAAGUCUGGUCAGGUCAGCCUCCAAAGGUUCCUAACAUGAUAGAAAAAAGAUCAAGAGGGAGUUCCGUUGUGGUUCAAGUGUAACAAACCUGGCUAGUAUCCAUGAAGACUCAAGUUUGAUCCCUGGCCUUGCUCAGUGGGUUAAGGAUCCGGUGUUGCUGUGAGCUGUGGUGUAGGUCUCCAUCGUGGCUUGAAUCCUGCGUUGCUGUGGCUGUGGUUUCGACCCCUACACUGGGACCUUCCAUAUGCUGUGGGUGCAGCCCU
rnacentral:lncRNA from 1 species